GGAUAGGGCUAGUGGGGCAUUUCAUUAGGAUAUUUUCGUGUUGAGAUCUACAAUUAACUGCGUACUCAACUUUUCUUCGUGUGUGAUUCAAUAUGCAGUAUUAUCUAGAGAUUUUUUUACUCUCUAUUUUAAUCCUCAACAGUAUAAUAACUGCGACUUGCUUGAACAUUGCUGUGGACUUCGACCUCGUCGGCGAAGGAUUUCAUAGGUGAAGAGGUUAUGAUCAGUCGCGGCGCAUUUCAAAUCGUCUUUAGAGUACAGCAUCAGCUUCGAUGGACUGAACCAGGUUGACUGUGCUGUUGCACUUCACGUGCUUCUUCCUUCUGCAAUAUAUAUCAACGUGGAUGAGGUAGCAGAUUUGAAAAGACAAGGAAAAGCCCGUGUAUGCUCACAGGGUGAAACAGACGUGGAAUUGUUUGCAGAAAAUGCAGAGUCCCAAAAUGUAACGAUCUGUGAGCAGUUGAUAUCCUCUGAGAUUAAUUUGUCACUGCCUGUUCAUCAGCGAUACCAGUUUGCUCGUGCAGAUGGAGACUAUCUCGAUGUGCUUAUUCCACAACCAAAACUACUCCUUGGGUGUAAAAAUCGGAUAAAAGAAUACCGUGUAUCCAACAUUGAUCUCUGUGCACCUUGCGUCGAUCUUGCUAGAAAGUGGAGAGAAAUUCCUUACAAAGUGGAACCCACAGAAAAGAUCUGGCGUGUUCCUGUAGGCAAUUCUUCUUAUCUGGAUCACGUAUCUUGUACCACUUUACUGGUAACAAGCUUGGGAGCAGCUGUGGUCUUGCGAGUACUAUUGCAGUCAGGGAUCAAAAGCAGAUCAGGAGUAAAAGUAGACUAAGUCCUGGUAAGUGGAGUUGAAUUAUUUAUCUGCCCACAAUUGUAUAAAUUACUUGAUGACUAUGAAAAAUCAUGUUUUAUACACACGGAUCUCUUGUUCCGAACCCUUGAGACUAGAUGAUGUACUCAGUACACCAAACAGAGGUCUGAGGAAUCUAAAAGUACAAAAACUAGGGACGGGGCAUUGUUGUUGCCCGUAUAACCAAAUACUAUCUUAGUGUUAUCAGUGUAUAAUCACACACUCGUUAUAAUAAAUAUACACGUAUUUAGGUAUUUACCUAAAUAAAAAUAUGCAAAUAAAUUAAUCUCCAAUGCAAAUAUUCUCGCUCAACAGCGGUUGUCAUAACUCCAUUUGAAAAAAAGUUUCUUUCUUCUAUUGAUUCUUCUUUGAAUCAAUGAUGUAUACGAUUCGGAUGAAGUGUGAAUCCCUAAAUUCAGUUAAAACCUUUCCUUUUCGGUUGAAUUGUGUACGUGCACAGAUUCCCUGCUCUUUUUGUAGGAAGUUGAGAGCUUUUUUUCGAUUUUUUCUUGCAUCUCUUCAUGACUCCGAGCAUCUGCCGAGUUAUUCCACCAUUGCACUUCUCCAGACCCAAACAACACAAAAAAAAGAUUUCCCAAAAAGUAGAAUCCAGAAGAGAUAAAAAAGACCGUUCGCCACUCCGCGACUUGGUGCUGAAAAAUUAAAGCCAUCGUUUUUAAUAGCGCUACAAUUUAAAUUGAAACUGUUCACUGGUACAGUUUAUAGAGAAACGCACCGGAUCCGUGACUAUGAAUCCUGUGAUUAGGGGAGCGAGUAUAGCAAAUACGUUAGCGGUUCCAUUCGUCAUGCCCAUCAAAGU
rnacentral:misc_RNA from 1 species